CUUGGUGACUAUAGUGAGCGUGAACCACCCGAUCCCAUCCCGAACUCGGAAGUGAAACCGCUUAGCGCCGAUGAUAGUGUGGCCGUUUGCCAUGCGAAAGUAGGGCAUUGCMAAG
rnacentral:rRNA from 1 species